GACGAACGCUGGCGGCGUGCUUAACACAUGCAAGUCGAACGGAAAGGCCCCUUUGGGGGUCCUCGGGUGGCGAACGGGUGAGUAACACGUGAGUAACCUGCCCUUGACUUCGGGAUAACUUCAGGACACUGGGGCUAAUACCGGAUAGGAAUCCUUGCUGCAUGGUGGGGGUUGGAAAGUUUCGGCGGUUUUGUAUGGACUCGCGGCUUAUCAGCGUGUUGGUGGGGUAGUGGCUUACCAAGGCUUUGACGGGUAGCCGGCCUGGGAGGGCGACCGGCCACAUUGGGACUGGGAUACGGCCCAGACUCCUACGGGAGGCAGCAGUGGGGAAUAGUGAACAAUGGGCGGAAGCCUGAGGCAGCAACGCCGCGUGCGGGAUGACGGCCUUCGGGUUGUAAACCGCUUUCAGCAGGGGCCAAGCUUGUGGUGACGGUACCUGCAGAAGAAGCACCGGCUAACUACGUG
rnacentral:rRNA from 1 species